rnacentral:rRNA from 1 species
AGUCGAACGAUGACCACUUCGGUGGGGAUUAGUGGCGAACGGGUGAGUAACACGUGGGCAAUCUGCCCUGCACUCUGGGACAAGCCCUGGAAACGGGGUCUAAUACCGGAUACAACCACUGACCGCAUGGUCGGGUGGUGGAAAGCUCCGGCGGUGCAGGAUGAGCCCGCGGCCUAUCAGCUUGUUGGUGAGGUAACGGCUCACCAAGGCGACGACGGGUAGCCGGCCUGAGAGGGCGACCGGCCACACUGGGACUGAGACACGGCCCAGACUCCUACGGGAGGCAGCAGUGGGGAAUAUUGCACAAUGGGCGAAAGCCUGAUGCAGCGACGCCGCGUGAGGGAUGACGGCCUUCGGGUUGUAAACCUCUUUCAGCAGGGAAGAAGCGAGAGUGACGGUACCUGCAGAAGAAGCGCCGGCUAACUACGUGCCAGCAGCCGCGGUAAUACGUAGGGCGCAAGCGUUGUCCGGAAUUAUUGGGCGUAAAGAGCUCGUAGGCGGCUUGUCGCGUCGGUUGUGAAAGCCCGGGGCUUAACCCCGGGUCUGCAGUCGAUACGGGCAGGCUAGAGUUCGGUAGGGGAGAUCGGAAUUCCUGGUGUAGCGGUGAAAUGCGCAGAUAUCAGGAGGAACACCGGUGGCGAAGGCGGAUCUCUGGGCCGAUACUGACGCU